CACGUAGGGGGCAAGCGUUGUCCGGAUUUAUUGGGCGUAAAGAGCGUGUAGGCGGCCAAGCAGGUCCGCUGUGAAAACUCGAGGCUCAACCUCGAGACGUCGGUGGAAACCGUUUGGCUAGAGUCCGGAAGAGGAGAGUGGAAUUCCCGGUGUAGCGGUGAAAUGCGCAGAUAUCGGGAAGAACACCCGUGGCGAAGGCGGCUCUCUGGGCGUACUGACGCUGAGAACGCGAAAAGC
rnacentral:rRNA from 1 species